rnacentral:lncRNA from 1 species
UAACGGCGAAGUCGCCUGCUCGAAAGUAAGUACGGAGAAGAAAGUAACUUGUUGUAUUGAUUGAUUGUUGUAUUCACAGAUUUACAAAGGUAGCUAUUUAUAGCCCCGUACAAAUAACUUCUUAACCGACUAGAACUCUAUCUCUAAUUCAAACAGAAAACAAAUAUCUACAAGCACAAUCCGUGCUAAGUUAGUUACCCCACGCUUCGUGGGCUGACCUCCACCUUAUCCUUCCAUCCCUUUCCAGGCCCAUACAGGCCCAAUUAGUCCAUCUUCCUGAUCGGCCGAUUUCUCAUCGGCAAAGGAUUACCGAUUGGGAUUCUGGUGCAUUCACCCUGAAGCGAGGCAAAAGUUGCCAGCCGAUUCCGCAUUAUAGCACCAUUUGACCGAUUCCCAACUGUACUUCUCCGACUUCUUUUCUUCUUGGCGCCGAUUCUACUGGUGACGAAAUCCGGCGUCAACACAUGCCCCCCAGUUUUGGAGUAAAACACAGUCUUUUACUUCGAAAUUCUUUAUAACCUCCCCUCCGAAACGGCCGCAGUGAAAAUAUCCUUCCGUUUCGCGGUCUCCCGGCUGAUCAUUGCGAUUUUUUUUGAAACGGGCGCCCACGACAGCCACUACCCCGAAAAACUCGAAGCGCCAGUGCGGUGAAAAUUCCAUCUUUACCCCCUCUUCAGGCACCCUAUAAAUAGCGUUUCACCGCAGCUCAUCUUCAAGCUCACGUCUCUUUUCCCAACGCGCACGCAUCCUUCUUCUUUCAACUCUCCCUUGCCAUCGAAGUCUUCUAGUUCCAGUUCCUGUUACUUCUUCCCCC